UACGUAGGGGGCAAGCGUUGUCCGGAAUUAUUGGGCGUAAAGCGCGCGUAGGCGGCCACUUAAGUCGGAUGUGAAAGCCCCUGGCUCAACUGGGGAAGUGCACCCGAAACUGAGCGGCUUGAAUGCAAAAGAGGGUCGCGGAAUUCCCGGUGUAGAGGUGAAAUUCGUAGAUAUCGGGAGGAACACCGGUGGCGAAGGCGGCGACCUGGGUUGACAUUGACGCUGAGGCGCGAAAGCGUGGGGAGCAAACAGG
rnacentral:rRNA from 1 species